CUAUCUUUAGUAAAGAAUAAAACAUAGAGUAAUGAAAGCCAUCAUUGUUCACGUACAAGAGUGAUUUUUUACAUGGUUUUGACAGAUAUCUCCAAAAUUCAAAGAGAAAUGUUCAUACAAAUUGGAGAAAGACCGAUGCAAAACAGCUAAUUAGAUAUCAUUCUCUAAAAAUAAAAAAUAAACUAAUUAGACGUCACAAAUUUUAUAGAAAUCG
rnacentral:lncRNA from 1 species